rnacentral:rRNA from 1 species
CCUACGGGUGGCUGCAGUGGGGAAUUUUGGACAAUGGGCGCAAGCCUGAUCCAGCAAUGCCGCGUGCAGGAUGAAGGCCUUCGGGUUGUAAACUGCUUUUGUACGGAACGAAACGGUCUGCCCUAAUACGGUGGGCUAAUGACGGUACCGUAAGAAUAAGCACCGGCUAACUACGUGCCAGCAGCCGCGGUAAUACGUAGGGUGUGAGCGUUAAUCGGAAUUACUGGGCGUAAAGCGUGCGCAGGCGGUUAUGUAAGACAGAUGUGAAAUCCCCGGGCUCAACCUGGGACCUGCAUUUGUGACUGCAUGGCUAGAGUGCGGCAGAGGGGGAUGGAAUUCCGCGUGUAGCAGUGAAAUGCGUAGAUAUGCGGAGGAACACCGAUGGCGAAGGCAAUCCCCUGGGCCUGCACUGACGCUCAUGCACGAAAGCGUGGGGAGCAAACAGGAUUAGAUACCCUAGUAGUC